rnacentral:rRNA from 1 species
AAAGCCCCUUCGGGGGCAAGUAGAGUGGCGCACGGGUGAGUAACACGUAGGUAAUCUACCUUCGGAUGGGGAAUAACAACCGGAAACGGUUGCUAAUACCGCAUAAUGCAGCGGCACCUAAUGGUGACAGUUGUUAAAGCGGGGGAUCGCAAGACCUCGCGUCUGAAGAGGAGCCUGCGGCGGAUUAGCUAGUUGGUAGGGUAACGGCCUACCAAGGCGACGAUCCGUAGCCGGCCUGAGAGGGCGGUCGGCCACACUGACACUGACAUACGGGUCAGACUCCUACGGGAGGCAGCAGUCGGGAAUUUUGGGCAAUGGGCGAAAGCCUGACCCAGCAACGCCGCGUGAAGGAUGAAAUCCCUCGGGAUGUAAACUUCGCAAGAACGGGAAGAAUAAGUCUGCGCGAACAUCGCAGGCGAUGACGGUACCGUUUGUAAGCUCCGGCUAACUCCGUGCCAGCAGCCGCGGUAAUACGGGGGGAGCAAGCGUUGUUCGGAUUUACUGGGCGUAAAGGGCGCGUAGGCGGCCACUGCAAGUCAAUUGUGAAAUCUCCGGGCUUAACUCGGAAAGGUCAACUGAUACUGCAGGGCUAGAGUGCGGAAGGGGCAACUGGAAUUCUCGGUGUAGCGGUGAAAUGCGUAGAUAUCGAGAGGAACACCUGCGGCGAAGGCGGGUUGCUGGGCCGACACUGACGCUGAGUGCGCAAAAGCUAGGGGAGCGAACGGGAUUAGAUACCCCGGUAGUCCUAGCCUUAAACGAUGAAUGCUUGGUGUCUGGGGUUUUAUAGUCCCCGGGUGCCGUCGCUAACGCUUUAAGCAUUCCGCCUGGGGAGUACGGUCGCAAGACUG